GACGAACGCUGGCGGCGUGCUUAACACAUGCAAGUCGAGCGGAAAGGCCCUUCGGGGUACUCGAGCGGCGAACGGGUGAGUAACACGUGAGUAAUCUGCCCUUCACUCAGGGAUAACCGCGGGAAGCUGCGGCUAAUACUUGAUAUGACCACGUCCCGCAUGGGGUGUGGUGGAAAGCGUUUAGUGGUGAGGGAUGUGCUCGCGGCCUAUCAGCUUGUUGGUGAGGUAGUGGCUCACCAAGGCUUCGACGGGUAGCCGGCCUGAGAGGGUGACCGGCCACACUGGGACUGAGACACGGCCCAGACUCCUACGGGAGGCAGCAGUGGGGAAUAUUGGACAAUGGGCGAAAGCCUGAUCCAGCAACGCCGCGUGAGGGAUGACGGCCUUCGGGUUGUAAACCUCUUUCACCUCUGACGAAGCGCAAGUGACGGUAAGGGGAGAAGAAGGACCGGCCAACUACGUGCCAGCCGCCGCGGUAAUAC
rnacentral:rRNA from 1 species